rnacentral:lncRNA from 1 species
UGGGUUCCGACACAGCGGCAUUGCCGUGUUUCAACGAUGGCACCAUGAUGCUUCGACGAUGGCACCGUUGCUCGCAAUGGUGGUUUUUCUCGGCUUGGUCAUUUUCGGCCGAUUUCGGUUGGUUUCGGCCACCUUUAUACAUAUUUCUGCAAAAAAAACAUGUUAGGGGGUUCAGUUGACUGAAAAAAUAAAAAAAUUAAAACUUACCAAUGGUGGAAUUUUCGGGUGCGGCGAUUUCGCCGGCUCACCUUCGCGGCUUGGUUUUUUUUCCAUAGUCAACCUAUAGAAAAUAGAAUGGUGAAUAUAACAGUAGAAAAAUCGUACGAAACAGAAAAUGGAAAGGGGCUCAUUGAAGGAGGUUAUAAGUUUUACCUAUGACAGCUCCGUCGAGCUUUACCUGCAGUUUUCGACUCAUCUGUAAUUCGUUUUGCUCUGAUAUAGCCAAAGAGGUGCUCAGAAUCAGAUUUCGAGCGAGUAAGAGAUUUUUUACAAUUUUUUUUACGAUCGGAGGUGACUCUGGUGCAGUGGCGGUCGGUUUCCUUUUUCAGUGACUGGUUCUUCUUCUUCGACGGGAGGCUAGCGACUAGGGUUCAGGUUUGGUGUGUUACAAAAUAUUUAUACAUAUCUCGUGUUAAUCUGAACCGUUUAUCACGUUUAAUCUCGACCGUUCGAUCGCACUUAAGAAGGAAACAAAUUUGAACUGUUCAUCGCGUUUGAUUUUGACCGUCCGAUCGCGCC